rnacentral:misc_RNA from 1 species
UUUGCUUCAGGUACCGCAUCACGCUUUUCAAUGAGCUCUAUUAUCUUAAUGCCGGGGGCACAAUUUGGACAGAUGGGUCCUUACCAAUUCAAAACUUUAAAACCAUCAGGGACAGAGCGUUUUCCCUUGACAAGACAAAAUCAGACUCUGAGGAAACGUUAAUGUUGGAUGAAAAAAAUGAGAUUUAUAUGGGAUUACUUUCUGGGAUGAAAUCUACUGUUAACCAACUUCAGACUCCGUUGACUUCAAACUGUGCUUUUGGUACUAAUCUACUUCAAGAUGGAGAGGAGAACAUUGGCCAGUUUCUCUAUCUUGAAGGAAUUGAAUAUCACAUGUUUAAUACGUAUGAUGUCCAUUUUUAUGCAUCAUAUGCGCUAUUGAUGCUCUUCCCGAAACUUGAGCUGAGCAUCCAAAGAGACUGCGCAAUGGCGGUAAUGAUGCAUGAUCCAUCUAAAAUGA